GUGCUUGUUCGGCAGCAUAUACACUAAAUUUAACAGGAUAUAGAGGAGAGUGGCAUGGUUUCUGCAUAAAGAUGCCAUGCAAAUUUGUUAAGUAAACAAAGAUUGU